UACGGGGGGGGCAAGCGUUGUUCGGAAUUACUGGGCGUAAAGGGCUCGUAGGCGGCCAACUAAGUCAGACGUGAAAUCCCUCGGCUUAACCGGGGAACUGCGUCUGAUACUGGAUGGCUUGAGUUUGGGAGAGGGAUGCGGAAUUCCAGGUGUAGCGGUGAAAUGCGCAGAUAUCAGGAGGAACACCGGUGGCGAAGGCGGAUCUCUGGGCCUUACCUGACGCUCAGGCACGAAAGCUAGGGGAGCAAACGGG
rnacentral:rRNA from 1 species